rnacentral:hammerhead_ribozyme from 1 species
GCACUGCUGAGGAGUCCCAGAGUAGGACGAAACGGCCUUCUAGUGC